UACGGAGGGUGCAAGCGUUAUCCGGAUUUACUGGGUUUAAAGGGUGCGCAGGCGGAUAUGUAAGUCAGUGGUGAAAUCUCCAGGCUUAACCUGGAAAUUGCCGUUGAUACUAUAUAUCUUGAAUGCUGUGGAGGUAAGCGGAAUAUGUCAUGUAGCGGUGAAAUGCUUAGAUAUAACAUAGAACACCUAUUGCGAAGGCAGCUUACUACGCAGAUAUUGACGCUCAUGCACGAAAGCGUGGGGAUCAAACAGG
rnacentral:rRNA from 1 species